CGUGUAGGCGGUUCGCUAAGUCGGAUGUGAAAACUCUGGGCUCAACCCAGAGCCUGCAUCCGAAACUGGCGGGCUAGAGUUCUGGAGGGGGUAGCGGAAUUCCUGGUGUAGCGGUGAAAUGCGUAGAUAUCAGGAGGAACACCGGUGGCGAAGGCGGCUACCUGGACAGAAACUGACGCUGAGGCGCGAAAGCUAGGGGGAGCAAACAGGAUUAGAUACCCUGGUAGUCCUAGCCCUAAACGAUGGAUACUUGGUGUGACGGGGAUUGAAUCCCGUCGUGCCGAAGCUAACGCAUUAAGUAUCCCGCCUGGGGAGUACGGUCGCAAGGCUGAA
rnacentral:rRNA from 1 species